UUAACUCAAAUUUGUAUGGAAUGGGAUCGUUUGCCUACGUUUGCCGCUAGGGGCGCUGUUCCAACUGCAUACAAAUUUGACUUA
rnacentral:pre_miRNA from 1 species